rnacentral:lncRNA from 1 species
CGCCCGCACCUAUUUAUUUCAAAACAGAAUUUUUUUAUUUUUUUUAUAUUCCCGCUGCCCGCAUCCGGAAAUGUAAUCAUGUCCAUUUCCCGCACCGUUUUUUUUUUGGUAAAUAUUAUAAAAAGAUAUCAACAUUUGUUUUUAAAAUCACAGUCUAACCUGUAUAUAACGAUUUUAAACAUAAAAGCACCCCACCACACUGUG